rnacentral:lncRNA from 1 species
GCUGAGACUUCCUGUUGUGCUUUGAUGGAAGUAUUUGAUUUGAUUUUCAAAUGGAAAGUCACCAAUCACCAACUCCAUCAUUUCUGAGAGGCAAGACAGAGGAGGAUGAAGGGGCCGAGGAACUAGCUGGUCUAUGCUUGCUGCCACCUUGGUGUCUGCUGGGCUGA